AAUACUAUAUCUUUACAUUCUAUAGACAAUGAAAGAAAGAGAGAGUGAGAGAGAGAGAGGGCUGAGUUGGAGUGGUUGAGAUUCUCAUCCGAUUCGAAGAAAGCAAAAGGAAAUUUUGCUAAAGAAAAUAAUGUUUUGAUCCACUUUUUCGAAAUAUGUUCAUUUUUUUUUUAUUUGUCCAGUUUUUAGUUUAUAUUUGUAAAGAAAUUCUCUCUCACUCAGGAAACACCAAAUCGAAAGAGAAGCAAAAACAUCUCUCCUUUUUUGUUUCUUUCAAGUGAAGAGUUAAUAUCACCCACCACUAAAGACUCCUGCCCCUGUACUCUGUACUCAUGGAUCUAGCUUAGCUCUGCCUUUCUCCAUUAAUUGUCUAAACAGGAACAGAUUUUCUUUACAGGAAAAUGGCAGCUGAGAGGCCCAGCUCCAGGGGCCAAGCAUGGUUUUGCACUACUGGGUUGCCAAGUGACGUUGUAAUGGAGGUGGAAGAUAUGACCUUUCAUCUCCAUAAGGUCAGCCUAAUUAUACCCACAAAACCCUAUCUACACUGCUAUAGUCCACACCUAUCUAAGACCUAAUACCAGUCUCUGUGUUUAUCUUUUUUUUGUUUGGUGAUGGUGUGAUUCAGUUUCCUUUGAUGUCAAAAAGUCGAAAGCUUUACCAGCUAAUAACCGAGCAAGAGACAAACCAAACAUACGCGGUGGAAAGAGGAGGAGGAGAAGGGGAAGAGCAUGAACCUGAUAGAGAUGAAAUCGAGGAAGUUCACUGUCAGAUUUCGCUCCAGGAUUUCCCGGGCGGCUCUGAGACUUUCGAGAUGGCCGCCAGGUUCUGCUACGGCGUCAAGGUCGAUAUCACUUCUUCCACCGUUGCCCCUCUUCGUUGCGCCGGAGAGUUUCUCGAGAUGACGGAAGAGUAUUCGGAAGACAAUUUAAUUUCCAAGACAGAGCGGUUUCUCUCUCAAUCUGUGCUCAAGAAUCUCAAGGAGUCAACAAAAGCAUUAAAAUCGUGCGAGAAAGUAAUGCCUCUUGCAGAGAGCUUAGGCAUUACGCAGCGAUGCAUCGAUUUCAUUGCUUCCAGAGCCUCCUCCGCUGAUCCCACUCUUUUUGGCUGGCCGGUUAGUGAUGGAGCUAAUGACAAUAGAGCCACAUCCAAUCAGGCCUUAUGGAAUGGGAUUGAAUCAGCGGUGCGUAGAAAGGGAGCCGUCUCUGCCUCCACCGUAGCUGCCUCUGUCGGUAGAGGUGCGGACUCAUGGUUUGAGCAUUUGGCCCUUUUGAGCUUGCCUUUGUUUCAGCAAUUGAUUCUUGCCAUGAAAGCUCAAGAUGUGAGUGCAGAUAUUAUAGAAAGCUGCCUAAUGUACUAUGCGAAGAAGUACAUUCCAGGCAUAUCGAGAAUGAAUCGCAAGCCAUCUUCGUCUUCCUCUAUAGCCUCAGAGAGCGAGCAGAGAGAGGUAUUAGAGACUAUAAUUUCAAAUCUUCCACUGGAGAAAAGCUCCAAAUCUUCCACCGCAACAAGGUUUCUAUUCGGCUUAUUAAGAACCGCAAACAUAUUAAACGCAUCCGAAUCGUGUCGCUCCGCUUUGGAAAAGAAGAUCGGUUCACAACUGGAGCAAGCUACACUUGAUGAUCUACUGAUUCCUAGCUAUUCAUAUCUUAACGAGACUUUAUACGAUGUAGAUUGCUUGGAGAGAAUCUUAAGCUACUUCUUGGAUGGACUGGAAGAAAGAAAUGCAGAUGGAAUUGAAGCAGAGGAGAAUGGUGAUCACAAUGUGAGAUCGCCGGGUUUGAUGCUGGUCGGAAAAUUAAUCGAUGGCUAUCUGGCUGAAAUUGCCUCCGAUGCGAAUCUGAAACCUGAUAGAUUCUACAAUCUGGCAAUCUCUUUACCAGAGCAAGCUAGGCUUUUCGACGACGGUCUUUACAGAGCCGUCGACGUCUAUCUCAAGGCGCAUCCAUGGAUAUCGAAGGCGGAGCAGGAGAAGAUUUGUGGAGUGAUGGACUGCCAAAAGCUAACAUUAGAGGCGUGCACGCACGCGGCACAAAACGAGAGGCUUCCGCUGCGUGCAGUAGUUCAAGUUUUGUUUUUCGAGCAAUUACAACUCCGACAUGCAAUCGCCGGGACAUUGAUUGCGGCAGAUGCGGCGCCGCAUGAUUCCAUGAGACCGUCGUUGUUGAGACGGGAACGGGAAGGGGUAGAGGAGAGAGCAGUAUCGGCUGCUCCUGCGGCGGGAGCGGGGGAGGCACAGGACAGCAGCAGUAACUGGAGGGCAGCAGUGAGGGAGAAUCAGGUGCUGCGACUGGACAUGGAUAGCAUGAGGACGCGAGUUCAUCAGCUGGAAAGAGAAUGUUCGACAAUGAAAAAAGUGAUCGAGAAAGUUGAUAAAGAGGGCCCACGUGGGUGGAGAGGUUCCCUGACGAGGAGGUUUGGGUGCAAGUUCAAGACUCAAGUGUGUGAUUCACAUGAACAGACGGUGGUAAACGCAAGGAAGGGACGGCACCAUCAUCACCAACAAUAGGCCUUCUUGUACGUGAACAUCGAACACGACAUGUCGUUAAUUGUUUUAUUGUCUGGUGUGAGUUGACCGAUUUACACUGUGUAGACAAGUGUCUAUGCCUAAUAAGUUGUAGAUGUAAUUUACUGCCACGUUCUCAUGGUCUUAAAAAGGUCU
rnacentral:misc_RNA from 1 species